ensembl:lncRNA
CAGACCGGUUUAUGUCAGACACGGAGCGGCCUUUAAGGUAUCGCGGAUAAAUACAACCACAUAAAAUGAUCCGACCAAGACAAAAACUGUGGUAUUUUGUAAAUAUAAUGAUAAACGUGAAUGUACUGUGUAAUUGUGUAACUUUAUUAGCAGCGUCCUCCUGAAAAUGUGCCAAUAUUGACAGUAACAUCCUCCUCUCUGCCGCUUAAUGCUCUCUGGUCGCUAUGGUAACGUGUAAAUAUUUCUUUCAAAAUAAGACACAACUACAACAAGGGAAAGACUCAGGGAAACCGAGUUAACGAUAAAACCCCUGAAAACCAUAAAUUUCACACCGGAGCCUUAACUCUCGUGGCCCGGUACCAAACGACUCACGGACCGCUGCUGUACAGAAGCUGUGAUGUCCAGACGGUGUUCCUCUGGUGUUCUGCUGUGAAAACCUUUGGGCUUAGGGAUUAACAUAGUUGCCAUGGUGUCCUUUCUCCUCUUAUUUGUUGUGUGUGAUCAGGACAAUUCUGGAGAAGAUGGGCCUGCAGGGGAAAGUCACCCCCUUGCAGGCCAGAAGACAUGAGAUAACUUUAAAGAAGACAAAGAUUGCAAGUAUCCAGGCUCAGGAGAGGGGGUCAGUGGGAAGCCCACUGCUGCUGCUUGGCCCUGGUUUGCCCUCAUGGAUGAGGUGAUAGGACAGAUGCCUUCCAUUAAGCCUCCUGUCCUAAUUUCCUCUCUCCCUGAGGACACUCCAGGGCCAAGCACAGCAGUGGGUGACCAAAACGACAGCGAUGACGAGGCGAGUCAGCCACCUACGACAGGGAGAAAGAGGAAAAGAGACGGGGAUGAUGAGCUG